rnacentral:rRNA from 1 species
GAUGAACGCUGGCGGCGUGCCUAAUACAUGCAAGUAGAACGCUGAAGGAGGAGCUUGCUUCUCUGGAUGAGUUGCGAACGGGUGAGUAACGCGUAGGUAACCUGCCUGGUAGCGGGGGAUAACUAUUGGAAACGAUAGCUAAUACCGCAUAAGAGCAGUUGUUGCAUGACAGCUGUUUAAAAGGUGCAAUUGCACCACUACCAGAUGGACCUGCGUUGUAUUAGCUAGUUGGUGAGGUAACGGCUCACCAAGGCGACGAUACAUAGCCGACCUGAGAGGGUGAUCGGCCACACUGGGACUGAGACACGGCCCAGACUCCUACGGGAGGCAGCAGUAGGGAAUCUUCGGCAAUGGGGGCAACCCUGACCGAGCAACGCCGCGUGAGUGAAGAAGGUUUUCGGAUCGUAAAGCUCUGUUGUAAGAGAAGAACGAGUGUGAGAGUGGAAAGUUCA